rnacentral:rRNA from 1 species
UAGCUAAAUGCGGAAGAGAUAAGUGCUGAAAGCAUCUAAGCACGAAACUUGCCCCGAGAUGAGUUCUCCCUGAGACUUUAAGUCUCCUGAAGGAACGUUGAAGACGACGACGUUGAUAGGUCGGGUGUGUAAGCGUAGCGAUACGUUGAGCUAACCGAUACUAAUGAACCGUGAGGCUUAACCUU